rnacentral:rRNA from 1 species
ACGGACGGGCUGCCCACGGACGAGGAGCUUCCAAGCUCUUCGGAGAGUUCGGAGACGACCGAGCUGUUUCAGCGUGUGCUUGCGGCGGCCGACCGGUACGAUCUUGGCAGACUGAAGCUCCUCUGCGCCCAGAAGCUGUGGGAGAGCGUGUCGGUGGAGACGGUCGCUACUACCAUGGGUUACGCUGAAAUGCACAACUGCCCGGAGCUGAAGAAGAGGUGCCUCGACUUCUUCAUGGCGGACAAGAACUUCAAGAAGGUGGUGGUGACCGACGGCUACUUCUGGCUCAUCGGACGCUUCCCCUCCAUUAUUUAUGAUAUAAGAGCACGGGUUGAUGAGACUUGA